AUCAGACAUCAGGAUAUUCAUGUAGAGCUGGAAGAGGAAACCCAGAAUAUUUCACUGGUUACAGUGAACCAAAGUUUGUCUGGUCUGCAGUCCCUCAUCCAGCAGCGUCUCUCUCAGUGAGUCCUGACAGAGAGCAACACUUCAGCUCUGAGUCUUUUACUCUGAACUGUGGAAGAAACUCUGCUGAAUGGAGAGUGAGGAGGUUUUCAGAAGCAGGUGACCUGACCCAAAUACCAAACUGCGCUUCCUGGGGGAAAAUGUCUGGAUCUUCAUGCAGCGUUAAAAAUCAGUCAAAGCCUAAAUCAGUGUACUGGUGUGAGUCUGGAUCAGGACAGUUCAGCAACGCCGUCAACAUCACCUUCCACAAUAAAGGUCCUCUCCUGGUGAGCCCCAUCCAUCCUGUGACUGAAGGAGCUUCUGUCACUCUGAGCUGCAGACUGAGAGGAGAAAACAAACUUUCUAAUGUGAUUUUCUAUCACAAUGACAAACUGAUCCAAAAUGACAGCAGAGGAAAGCUGAAUAUCUCUGCUGUGUCUCAGUCAGAUGAAGGUUUAUACAAGUGUCAACAUUCAGGAGACGUUUCACCUCAGAGCUGGAUGGCUGUUAAAAGUGUUUCCAAACCUGGGAGCCCUUCAUUUCCAGUCCUGUUGGUCCUCGGUGUAGUUUGUGGAUCAGUAUUUGUUAUGCUGCUCCUGCUG